rnacentral:sRNA from 1 species
UUGACAUCCCUGAGGACCGAUGUCCUUUGUCUACAGAAUAUGUACAGCAUGUGAAGCAGCAGUGCAAGCUUCCCUCCUCCACCCUUACCAUCUGGACCUGAAGAGCCACCUCCGUGGUGAAAGAGGAAUUGGUCUUCAUGACCCAUUCAUUCCUUGGCUUCU